rnacentral:rRNA from 1 species
AACGAACGCUGGCGGCAGGCUUAACACAUGCAAGUCGAGCGCCCCGCAAGGGGAGCGGCAGACGGGUGAGUAACGCGUGGGAACGUACCCUUUGCUACGGAAUAGCUCCGGGAAACUGGAAUUAAUACCGUAUGUGCCCUACGGGGGAAAGAUUUAUCGGCAAAGGAUCGGCCCGCGUUGGAUUAGCUAGUUGGUGGGGUACUGGCCUACCAAGGCGACGAUCCAUAGCUGGUCUGAGAGGAUGAUCAGCCACAGUGGGACUGAGACACGGCCCAAACUCCUACGGGAGGCAGCAGUGGGGAAUAUUGGACAAUGGGCGCAAGCCUGAUCCAGCCAUGCCGCGUGAGUGAUGAAGGCCUUAGGGUUGUAAAGCUCUUUCACCGGAGAAGAUAAUGACGGUAUCCGGAGAAGAAGCCCCGGCUAACUUCGUGCCAGCAGCCGCCGUAACAC